UAUUGCAUUACAUUGUAGCAAAAUGGCGGCUGUCAUUCAGAAUCCACUAAAAGCGUUGGGCGACCAGUUUUAUAAGGACGCCAUUGAGCAGUGCCGCAGCUACAAUGCCCGCCUGUGCGCCGAACGCAGCGUGCGCCUGCCAUUCCUGGACUCACAAACCGGCGUGGCCCAGAACAACUGCUACAUCUGGAUGGAACGACAUCACCGCAGCCCAGGUGUAGCGGCCGGGCAGAUGUACACGUAUCCGGCCCGUUGCUGGCGAAAGAAGAGACGGCUGCACACCACCACCGACCCCAGCCUGGGAAUCUUUGGUCUCAAGCUCGACAACGGCCUCAUUUCCAAGGACACGUUGCCCACCCAGGGCACCACGCUAGAAGCUCUGCUACGAGGCGAAGGUCUCGACAAAAGGAACUCCAGGAACGAUGAGGAGAGUUUGCUGGAGAUCCAGAGAGUUCUGGAGGCAGACGCAGCAGAAGAUGCUUUCAAUGAUGACGAUGACUACGAGGUGGACACUCCCAAGAGGAGACACCGGGGCAAAGGAAGGGGUCGGGGCUCAGGCCGUAGGAAGGCAGACCUGGAUGACGACAAGCCAUAUGUCUGUGACAACAGAUACAAACAAAGGAAUAAUUCCAAAUCAUCAACCUCUGUCUAUGCGAAGCGCUAUAGGAGCCGUACGGGACUAAGCUACCACUAUACCAAUUCCCACCUGGCAGAGGAGGACAGAGCUGGGGAGAGGAGCACUGUGACAUCCAGGUCUCCUUCUCUGCAGCCCGCUGACAGACACAAACGUCCAAAGGCUCCCAUCGGCACCAGGAUUCCCAACCGAUACUGUGAGAAAUGUCAGAAUGCCAACAAGAAGCUCAUGAAAUCUGGCUCCCCCUGCACAACUUGCCAAUGCACAACUGACGGCGUCGAGGAGAAGGAGGAGGGAGGCGGCAGCGCGGGCGGCGCCGAGGAGCUGUUCGCCACCACGUCGGAGAGCGACGCCUCCACCUUUCACGGCUUUGAGGACGAUGAGCUGGAAGAGCCCGCCGCCAACAGCAAUGGAUUAUCCAGCCGCCACAGAUAAACACUAGCCUUUUCCAUCUUCAAAAAAAACAAACAAAAAAAAAAUCUGGAUUCAUCUCUGGCAAAAAUCUGCUGCUUCUUUUUUUUUUUUUUUUUUUUUUUAAGUUUUUGUUUGCAGAAAGCACAAUGUGAUCGCUUCAGGACAAAAGAAACAAAAAAAAAUUUAUCUACUGGACAUUAAUUUAUGAACAUUUAUUUAUAGAUCUAUAAAUUAAGUCAAUUAAUGACUUGCAAAACUUUGAAGUUUUUUCCCUUUUUGGAGCUGAAGGAGCAUAAUAAUGUGUGAACAAACAAACAAAAAACACUGGAGCAAUCAUAAAUUUGAACAGAGUAACCUUUUAAUGUCUGCAGGCUGUUUGAAUGUCAUUUAAAAGCCUUGACUGGAACUUUCUGGAGGAUCUUGCUAUGAGCUCUGUGACUCUGGAUUAUAUUUGUUUUCAAACAUGAAGGAACCAGUGAACGGACUACCGCAAACCAAUGGCGAUGUUUGGAGAUGUAGUCUAUUUAUUUUCUUUAUAGACACGAGCGCCUUAGUGAAUGAAAGCAAUGGUGUAUGGCGUGAUGAGUGUGCAUACAGGCUGUGGCGGCGGAGUGCAUUACUCACUGUUUUCCUUGUGACAACAGUACCUGCUUCUUCCAGAUAUUUUUAAGAUCUCCACAGGUGGUCCUUGGCUCUAGGACAAUUCUUCUGGUUAUUCUUUGCACUCCUCUGUCAGAAACCUAUUUGCCGUUUUUGUGCUCGUUUUGGAGCCCUGUCUAAUGAAAAUAUUGCUUUGGCACCAUAUUAUGGCCAAGUAACCAUGUUGAAGUGAUUGGAGGAGCUUCAUUUAAUGAGGUCAUAGCUGUGUCUAGAAAAAAGUGCUUUGCUGCCACCUUUCUUUUACUAGAUUUUUGUUGUUGUUGUGCUACUACGGCAGGGCUCAGUCCCUAUUCAAAGUAUUUACAGGAAAAUGUGAAGUUUUAUUCUAACUUGACUUUUCUGUGUCGUAGGAGCACUCUGCACAGGAGAAACAGACAUAGUAAACAAGGAUUUAACAACUCUUCCUGAAUUUGGGCCUAAAUGUACGUGACGAGGAGCGGACAAGUCCAACGUCCGCCAGACUCGCAGGCCGUGUGACUUCCGUGAAGCGCCCCUGACCAUGUGAAUAACUGAUUUUGUUUUGUUGCGGGGGGCAGAGGAACGUUGGAUCAGAGCCAGCUUCACCGAGGACUACGGCAAGACAAACAAGAAGGCCUUUGGACUUGUCGGGGCCUGAAUGAACCCCACAGCUCCCACCCUCCCCCACUUCCUGCCCGCUUGUGCCGUGUGAAUGCGAGUGAUCCGAUGUGACACCAAUACGUCAUUAUCCUCAUCACUGUGCCAGCCUGCCGCUCUGCACUGCAAACCAGCUAUGACAGCCAUAAGCCCCCCCCCCUUCCACCUGAUUGGACCAGUGACCCUCCCCGCCCCCUUCCCUCAGCCAUAGUUGGUGCUUAAUUAGUACACGCAGACCUCUGAACCUUUCCGCUCGUCGCUUGACUUGAAUUGUCGCGUCUCCUCACUGCGCUUCUAGGGUGCUUGGUAUAUUUGUCAGAUUUUGGGAUAAGCGGACAGAUACCUCUGGCCGCCAAACUACUCAGGCAUCCGUCAUUAACGCUCUGCUGUUGAUUGUUGGGCCUCUCUCUUCGCAGCCCAGAAUCACGUGAUUGUAUUGAGCUGCCGCAGAGGGACAAUAACAUCACACAAGGGUCCCGUGAUGAAUGAGCGCACACGACCAGGAACGCUGCUGAAACGCUGGAAUAAUUUAGUGUGUGUGCGUGUGCGUGUGUGUGUGCGUGUGCGUGUGCGUGCGUGUGUGUGUGUGUGUGUGUGUGUGUGUGUGUGUGUGUGUGUGUGUGUGUGUGUGUGCCUGUGCCUGUGCCUGCGCACGCGUGCACGUGUGCUUGGAAAGAAGGCCUAGUCGUGUGAUCUUUAACAUUGGACAUUGAAGGAUCAAUUAGGGAUGGGCAGUUGACGUCAUUCCUUUGAUUGGAUAUUUUUAAUGGGGUGAAAAGCAGCCAUUAUUUAUUUCAAAAACAACUUUGUUCACGUUAUGACUUGUCAAUUUUUUUUCAAAAAAUAUUUUCAAUUUGUAACAUGACUUUCUCUUGUAAUAUUACAACUUGUAAUAUUGCAACUUUUUCAUAAUUUUACCUUUUUCUUGGAAUAAACUUUUUAAAAAAUGAGCCUAUUCUCGCAAUGUUAAAACUUUUUAAAUAUUGGUAAUUUUUUUGAAUUUGACUAUUUUACUGUAAUUACAACUUUUUAUUACUUUCCUCCCCAAAAAAGUAUUCUUGCAACCUCAUGCAUUUUUUGACUUAGUGGAAUGUCUUAUUCUCAUCAUCUGUGUUUUUCCUGCCCCAAAAAACAGUUCUUGUAAUGUGACGUUUAGUCAUGAAAAACAGCUUAUUCUCGUAAUACUUUACUCUCCGAGCCACCAUCCAAGAAAGUUGUAACUUCAAAAAGACUAUUCUCGAAACUUUUACUUUUUUGGGGCAAAGAUUUACAAAAUUAUCCUCUAAAAUAUGACAAUUUGAUUUUCCACAGAGGAUGAAUUAUCUAUCCAUCUAUCUCAUAUUCUUGUAAUGUUGACUUUUGUCUUGAAAAAUAAGACCAUUAUAAUGUGAUGACUUCUUUCUCGUAAUAGGUACAUUUUUAAAGUGCUGAUUUUGACUCAUUACAUGUGCUUUUCUUUUCUGCCGCUUAUAUGCUGUCCUUUGUCCAUCACAAGAAAUGUUGACUUUAUUCUCGUAACUUCCCUAUUACAAAUUUACUGGCUUCAUUCUCGUCACCUCAUGGCUUUUUUUCAUGAUUUAAAUAUUUCUAAUUUUUCAGGCCAUGGAUUGAAUAAACAGCGCCUCUGCAGGUCCAACUAGUAGUGCACUUAAUUGCUUCAAGACGAGAUUCAGCGACAAUCAACUCCGCACAAUCCAACGGAUUCUUAAGGAUUUUAUAACAUUUUUAACAUAUUAAAAGCUUUCUUGUAUUAUUGUAAAUUUAUCCACAUAACAGGGCUUUUUCUUGUAAUCCAUCGUAAUGUUCAGACUUUUUUUUAGCGAAAAACUUAUUGGAACAUGACUUUUGUUCAUGUUUUUUCUUGUCCUAUUAAAACCCAUUUUCUUAACUGAACUUAAUUAUAUUCUGACUUAAAAAAAUAGUGAACCACUUAUUUUCUUUAAACUAUCUUCAUAACAGUGGUUUUAUUGUUUUAAGUUAAAAAGAGAAUUUAUCUGGAUUUCACAACUUUUGAAACGUUUCCUCAUACUCUCCCCCAAAAAAUCCAUUAAACAACAAAUUUUAAAUAGAUUUUUACUACUUUUUGAUCUCUUAACAAACCAGUUAAGUUUAAAUCUGCAGCACCUCUGCUGGUUUUGACUCCAAAACACGAUUGAAAAAAAAUUCUGAUGCCCAUCCCUAAUGAACUUCAUCUGUGUUGCCCCCCCCCCCCCCCCCCCCCCCCCAGGGUCCCUUCUCGCAGUCGCUUUCCCUCCAUCUCCCCGUGUGUUUAAUCAGCCAAGCAAGCAGACAGCCAUCCUGCACGCGCUGCUCAAGUGUGGCGAAAGUCCUCAACAACAACUGAAUGCAGAAGUCAUCUUUACCUAGACCAAGACACAGCAAUAACACCCCCCCCCCCCCCCCCCCCACCGCGAUGGGUAGUAAUCGUAGUGUGUGUUUAUGUGUGCGCGCGUGCGAUUACGUUGGGAAUGGAGCCGACAGGAGAU